UGCGUAGGCGGGCUGUCAAGUCUGGGGUGAAAUCCGGCAGCUUAACUGUCGAACUGCCUUAGAUACUGAUGGCCUCGAGGAAGGUAGGGGCAUGCGGAACUGUAGGUGGAGCGGUGAAAUGCGUUGAUAUCUACAGGAACUCCGGUGGCGAAAGCGGCGUGCUGGACCUUUUCUGACGCUGAGGCACGAAAGGCUAGGGAAGGCAAAACG
rnacentral:rRNA from 1 species